rnacentral:ncRNA from 1 species
GCGGAGGAAAAGAAACCAACAGGGAUUGCCUCAGUAACGGCGAGUGAAGCGGCAACAGCUCAAAUUUGAAAUCUGGCUCUUUCAGGGUCCGAGUUGUAAUUUGUAGAAGAUGCUUCGGGUGUGGCUCCGGUCUAAGUUCCUUGGAACAGGACGUCAUAGAGGGUGAGAAUCCCGUAUGUGACUGGUUGCCUUCGCCCAUGUGAAGCUCUUUCGACGAGUCGAGUUGUUUGGGAAUGCAGCUCAAAAUGGGUGGUAAAUUUCAUCUAAAGCUAAAUAUUGGCCAGAGACCGAUAGCGCACAAGUAGAGUGAUCGAAAGAUGAAAAGCACUUUGGAAAGAGAGUUAAACAGUACGUGAAAUUGUUGAAAGGGAAGCGCUUGCAACCAGACUUGCACGCAGUUGAUCAUCCGGUGUUCUCACCGGUGCACUCUGCUGCGUUCAGGCCAGCAUCGGUUUUGGUGGUUGGAUAAAGGCCUUGGGAAUGUAGCUCCUCUCGGGGAGUGUUAUAGCCCUCGGUGCAAUGCAGCCUACUGGGACCGAGGACCGCGCUUCGGCUAGGAUGCUGGCGUAAUGGUUGUAAGCGACCCGUCUUGAAACACGGACCAAGGAGUCUAACAUCUAUGCGAGUGUUUGGGUGUCAAACCCAUACGCGUAAUGAAAGUGAACGGAGGUGAGAACCCUUAAGGGUGCAUCAUCGACCGAUCCUGAUGUCUUCGGAUGGAUUUGAGUAAGAGCAUAGCUGUUGGGACCCGAAAGAUGGUGAACUAUGCGUGAAUAGGGUGAAGCCAGAGGAAACUCUGGUGGAGGCUCGCAGCGGUUCUGACGUGCAAAUCGAUCGUCAAAUUUGCGCAUAGGGGCGAAAGACUAAUCGAACCAUCUAGUAGCUGGUUCCU